UCGUUGUUGGUCUCCGUUGGGCGGGGGUGGAGGGCGCUGGUGUCGCACGACGUGAAGUUCCACCAUCAGGUUGACAUUUCGACAAGAGGCGGCGUUCAACUCACGGAGCGCUUCAUCGGAUGCCGGUACCAACACCGAAUGAUGCUUCUGCCGGGACGCGAGGAUGAGUACUGCGUCCGCGUGAGAAUGGUAGCCGACUUGCCACGGUGGAAGGCAGGGGAGUGGUCUCCACUGUCGUGUGUCUCCGUCCCUCCACCACACAGCACCGUGGCCCCUCGUGUGGGUGUCGACACGGACGGCCAGGUCACGGCGGUGGUCGGCCAGAAGGUGGCGCUGCUGCGCUGCGUCCUGUGGGGUGCGGCCGUGGUGGUGGUGCAGGCCAACUGG